GCUUAUACUCGACCGUCAGCGGCACGUGCGAUCGCGCGUUUCGACKCGCGCGGUCACGAAGCCCUGACGAGUAGGAGGGUCGCGGCGGUGAGCGCAGAAGGGCUGGCCGCGAGGCCGUCUGGAGCCGCCGUCGGUGCAGAUCUUGGUGGUAGUAGCAAAUACUCCAGCGAGGCCCUGGAGGACUGACGUGGAGAAGGGUUUCGUGUGAACAGCCGUUGCACACGAGUCAGUCGAUCCUAAGCCCUAGGCGAAAGCCGAUGUCGAUGCGGUGUGGAUUUAUGUUUUUGUUUUUUGACGCGCUACGAAUAGAACGGGAUAGCGAGAUUAACGUUGUCGCGUGAGUCGUAGCGUAGAGAAAAGAAAGCCGAUCGAACACACCCAUCGGGCGAAAGGGAAUCCGGUUCCUAUUCCGGAACCUGGCAGCGGAACCGUCAAAAAGUCGGGC
rnacentral:rRNA from 1 species